rnacentral:rRNA from 1 species
GUGGGGAAUCUUGCGCAAUGGGCGAAAGCCUGACGCAGCAACGCCGCGUGCGGGAUGACGGCCUUCAAGGUUGUAAACCGCUUUCAGCAGGGACGAAAAUGACGGUACCUGCAGAAGAAGCCCCGGCUAACUACGUGCCAGCAGCCGCGGUAAUACGUAGGGGGCAAGCGUUGUCCGGAUUCAUUGGGCGUAAAGAGCUCGUAGGCGGUUCAGUAAGUCGGGUGUGAAAGCUCCGAGCUCAACUCGGAGAGGCAACCCGAUACUGCUGUGACUUGAGUACAGUAGGGGAGCGUGGAAUUCCUGGUGUAGCGGUGAAAUGCGCAGAUAUCAGGAGGAACACCAGCGGCGAAGGCGGCGCUCUGGGCUGUAACUGACGCUGAGGAGCGAAAGUGUGGGUAGCAAACAGGAUUAGAAACCCGUGUAGUCC